UACGUAGGGACCAAGCGUUGUUCGGAUUUACUGGGCGUAAAGGGCGCGUAGGCGGCAAUUCAAGUCAUCUGUGAAAUCUCCGGGCUUAACUCGGAACGGUCAGGUGAAACUGCUUUGCUAGAGUGCGGAAGGGGCAAUCGGAAUUCUCGGUGUAGCGGUGAAAUGCGUAGAUAUCGAGAGGAACACCUGAGGUGAAGACGGGUUGCUGGGCCGACACUGACAUUGAGGCACGAAAGCGUGGGGAGCAAAACGG
rnacentral:rRNA from 1 species